GGCCUAGAACCUUGAAAUUCCAGGCUGAGUGGCAGGAUUACUGCCUUUUGGGUCAUAUCCAUCGUUUCUGGUGUUCUGGUGGCUGAUGAGGCUGGGAGUACAAAGGCAGUGAGGAAGCAUUUCCAUCCUCCACCAUUCUGGUGGCCUCAAAUCCACACCAGCUGUCAGGACCACGAAGCCCUGGGUGUGCCUGUGACGAAGGGCUUAGGCCUGGGGAGCCCCGUUCACCCUCCUGCAUCUUCGUCUGUGUUCCUGGUACUGCUGGUUGUUGGCUGUGUCAGGGGGAAACAAAAAUAAAGGCAACCUUGAAUCAAGUCCUCACCAUCAUUCUCAUCACCCUCCUGGACCAGGCUCUGCAUUCUGGGCCAGUAAAGAUGCUCUCUUGGGUAUGCAAACAAGUGUGUAUUCAAAUGAGCAUAUAUGCAAAUGAGUGUUAAUGCAAAUGAGUGUUUGCUUUCUCUGUCUCUCACACUAGGCUGAGCAGGGGCUUCGGACUUACCCCAGGACCUAGCACAGCACUUGGCACAUCAAAGUACUCAGCAAGCAUUCACUGGGUUGACAUGGCUCUAACGCAGAUCCCAAGGGACCUGAUGUCGAGCAGUCAGCAUAACCUUUUCAUAGUAGGAGAGGUGGUGUGAUUCUUAUCUCCGUGGAACCUCAGCUCGGAAGGAUGCAAUGAUUUGCUCACUCUGGCCAGAGACCUCGGGAGCAUGAUCUUAUUUGGAUCCGAUUUUCACCAGAACGCCGAAAAUUUCAUACUGAAGGCACGUGCACAGUUGCUGUAAACGCCGGCGAACUUCAAGGUGAAGUAACUCCCCUGUACAAUCGCAAAUGCAAAUGUGUAAAGCUACUCAACAAUUUUCCCCUUGCAGCUGCCCAUUUUAUCUCUUGCAAAACUAGUAAUGAUACAAGCAGUUGAUUAUGGUUUACAAUAGCAAUAAACCUCUCAGAAUUGGUUGUUUCCAAAAUAAAUAGCCAUUCUGUUAAAUGUUAAAUAACAAGUCAUAAACUGCUGAAAACAACCAAUUUCUUGUGGAUUAUUGCCUGAAUAAAUUUCAGCAGGAACAGCAGAUCAUUAAGCUGUGAACGCCACAGAUCAAAAUCAUUGAAUUUUUUUAAAAAAUCAAUCAAUUAACUUAAAUCCAUCAAAACGAACUCCCCUUUUGCAAACCAAAUCACACUACAUAUUUUAACAUGAUCUUUGCAGCUUCUCUUCUGCUGAUCAUGGUUAGCUCGAUUCUUGCCAAAUCCUUCCAUUGUUUUUCAGAGAUUGAAGAAUACCUAACCCGAUGGUCAGAUUGGCCAUUCUGAGAGCAUGCAAUUUUCCUCAGCUGCAUUUUCUAGAAGUCUACGAUAUUCCAAUUGAUAAAACACAGACCUGUCCACUACAUUAAACAUUUGAGUCAAGGCUCGGUGGCAAAUAUAUUCAAACCACAGCUCUAACAGAGACUGUUCUCAUAAGAGGAGCCAACUUCAUCGGGAUGAUUGACAGAAUACUCUUCGCCAUAGCAACCAGGGUUAUCUCUCUGGAAUAACAACAUUAACCUCCUUCAUAACCAGCUUUUCAUCCUUCAGUAUAAAAGGCAGCUGCAUGCAUCUUGUAUGAUCUUUUAUUUUUAUUUUUGAAUGAACAGUUAGCACUUAAGUAAAAAUAGGACAAGAUGCAGCAAAACCAAAUUAAUUGUGAAUUUCUCCUGAAAAAAAAAAAAGCAUUACAAUGGAUCUUAUAGGCAGAACAGUUAAAGGGCAGGAAGGGUUUCUGUCUCUUCUGAGCACAGGGCAAUGGCAGGGAGAUUUCUAUUCAUCCGCUGCCUCUGAAAUGGUCUAGUGCAUUGAUUUGCUUUGUGUUGUUGUGGAGGGGUGAGGGUGGGGAGGAUGCAAGGAAUUUUUUCAGAUUUUAUUCCUGCCUUAUUUUUUGUCCUCAUGACUCCUAAUACACACAUGCACACACACACACACACACACACACACACACACCCUUCGAUGUGCUCAUGUGCAAAGCAAAGAAUGGUCUGUGGGAAAGUGCAUAUUCUACCCGGGAAAAAUAUCACCUUUCUGAAAGAAAUUGCUAAAUGGACCCCAACCCCCCUGCUCUGUCUCCUGUGUAAUGUUUUGUGCAAGCUGUAGAUAUCAGUGUCUUCAUAUGCCAAUGAAGCAUCUCACUAGCCCUUCACAGAGAUGCCGUGCCACGCCAUGGCCUGAUUUCUAAUGCCAGUCUCUGCAAGUGACAAGUGUGGCACUCAAGCCUCGAGGAAUAAAAACUGUGUGUGACAAGGAAAGACAGACCAUAAACCUGGAUGGGCCACUGCCAGCCACGCUGUGUUCUCCCCGCUCUCCUCCCAUCUCAGAUGCACUCCCCACUGGGGGCAACGUCAUUGCAACUGCUGCCUUGAAAGGUUGAGCCACCUUUCCUGAGGCUUCUGUAUCACUCAAGGUCACAAUCUCGAAGCCUAAGGCCCCAGGUGUAACCUUGGAGAACUUCAGUCCUCUGCUGAGGAAGAGGCUGGGCAGGGAAAAGGUGACUCCCGACCCAAAGCAAGAGGAGUGUGGGAACGUGGUAUUUAAAGAGCAAAGCAAUGGGUGAGGGGCUCGGAGGGGCAGCAGGCAGGCAGGCAGCAGCAGAACCACUCCACAAGAUCUCUGCCUGCUUUGGAUUCAAUUAGCCAAAAGGCAUGGCCAGUGGAUUUCAAAAGGUGGUCUGUGAAGCAAUUUAAUAUGAGGUUUUGAAGCAGGAAAAACUUUUUAAGACCUCCUUGUGUUGGACAUGAGUGUUGAGGGUCACCUCAUUUCCACAGGUGCUGCCCACCCUGCCACCCCAACACCCACCAAGAGCAUCUUUACAUUUGCCAAGCUCUGGGACUCCCUGAAACCCAAACUGAGGCCCUGAGUCUGUGUGACCCACAGCCCACAGCUGAACACGCUCACUCCAGCUGGCCCUUCCCACUCCAGGGUUUAGGUAAAAUGCCACAGUCACAAGUAGCUCCCGAGGGACCAGAUGACACCAGAUGACACCCAGAAAUGCAGGGUGUAGCUGGAGGUGAAAGGUUCAUUCCUUCUGCACCCUGAGGUACAAUGUAUCCUGGCAAACCUUCUGCAGAAGUCCCACGGGCUGAGGGGACACACUCGCAGAGAGGCUUGUGUCUCUGGCCACUCACCAAGAAGCAGUGUCCAGGACAGCACCAUUGCAUCUCCUUGACUCUCGUUGUUCCUGCCUUUCUUCCUCUUUUUUUCUUCACCCUCACCUCUCUUGGGUUUCACAUUCAAAAUAAAGUAGCUGUACUGUAA